rnacentral:rRNA from 1 species
GACGAACGCUGGCGGCGUGCUUAACACAUGCAAGUCGAACGAAGUGGCGAACGGGUGAGUAAUACGUGGGUAACCUGCCCUCCUUUUUGGGAUAAGCCUUGGAAACGGGGUCUAAUACCGAAUAAAGGGGGAUGGGCUCGCGGCCUAUCAGCUUGUUGGGGGGGUAAUGGCCUACCAAGGCGGGGACGGGUAGCCGGCCUGAGAGGGUGGCCUGGCACAUUGGGACGGAGAUACGGCCCAGGCUACGACGGGGGACAGCAGUGGGGGAUAUGGCAGAAUGGGUGAAAGCCUGAUGCAGCGACUCCGCGUGGGGGAUGAAGGCUGUAGGGUUGUAAACCUCUUGCACUAUCAAACGGGUAGGUGGAGAAGAAGCGCCGGCUAACUACGUGCCAGCAGCCGCGGUAAUAC